GACACAUGGUGUUGAAUGCUGCGUUUAAACAAAAAGAAAAUGUCGAUGUGCAGAGAAAGCUAAUCAAAACCAAUUUACAUAUUUUGCCAUUCAGCACAAUGGAGAUUGUAUGAGUGGAGAUCAAACAUCGCUGAACAAUUAUAAAAGUGUAGAAAAGUCGAAAGCAUGCAUUUCUCAUGAUCUAUCACCUUGUGAAGAUAUUAGUUGGAGAAGUAUGUGUGGGAAAAAAUGGUUCUAACUUUGUGUACGAGAUAACUGGAGGUCCUGGCCCUGAGAAAAAGAGUUUUAUUGCCUUCAAAGAAACUGUAAAAGAACGUUGAGAAAAAUAUGAAACACGUGUUUAGAAAUCGCAUUUGAAUUAAUAACGUAAAUUGUAUGGUUGUUUGAUUCUCUAAGUUACCUUUCAUUUACAAUGACCUCAAAUUUCAUCUCAUAAAA